AUUUAUAAAUUAAAUAGUUGGUAAUGCAAUAUAAUUGUUUAUAAAUUACUAUUCGGUAAUUCUCAAACAUUUUUACGGAAAUAUAAUUUACUGGCACAAUAAUCAAGCCGAGAUAUUUUUUUGUGGACGGAAUAUAAUGUUAAUGUUGACCCAAUUAUAAAGCUUCCUUCACCCAUUUAAUAUUUUCGUUUAAAUAAAUUGAUAUUUAGUAUAUUAAUGAAUUUUAAUUUAUUUAUUUGGACAGAUUUAUUUUUUAUUUUAGAACAAUCGUUAUUGUCCUUGUUGCUUCUUAAUGCCUAACACGUGUCUGAGUGAAGAUAUCUCUUCUUCUUCCUUAACGUAUCAUCGACUGGACUUUUAAUGGGCCGCUUAAUUUUGUAAGAUAUCUUUAUGUACUCUUGUUGAUGUAUGUUGUCUUAUAUCAAUAAAAUUCAGAGAAAAAAAAAUGUCGAAAAGAAUAAUCGUUGUCUCAUCUUAAAAAACAAAAAAAAAAAAAACCCACCGAACAAAAGUAAGAACAUGGCUCGAUCGAAGAAUCAAUUGCGACAGCUAUUUCGUCUCCGUUUAUACAGUGUUGCAAAUCGUGAAUUCUUUAAAGAGGUCAAGUAUAAAUUGCGAGUAACCUAAAAAUGUGGAGGAGGCUAUCACGUUUUGUCAUUGGAGCUAUUCAAAAAUCUAUUGGUUGAAGAUUGCCAAAAUCUCAACCGGCCGGAUCAAGCAAAGGAUCGAGCCCAUGAUCCGCGUGUCGACCCGCCAAAGAACCCCAGGAUCUGCGUGUUUAUUCGGUCCAGUAGCCCAAGAUCUGCGGGUUACUUCCUUUCAAAUUAUUGUUUUACCCUUCUACGUGUUUCUUUUUUUACUCUUUGAAUGCAAAAUUCCUAAUGGCAUUCUUUGUAAUUCUUUACCCUUUAUAA